rnacentral:rRNA from 1 species
CCUACGGGGGGCAGCAGUCGAGAAUUUUUCACAAUGGGGGAAACCCUGAUGGAGCGACGCCGCGUGGAGGAUGAAGGGCUUCGGCCUGUAAACUCCUGUCACUAGGGAGCAAGGCUUGGGGUGAACAGCCCUGGAGCUUGAGAGUACCUGGAGAGGAAGGGACGGCUAACUCUGUGCCAGCAGCCGCGGUAAUACAGAGGUCCCAAGCGUUGUUCGGAUUUACUGGGCGUAAAGGAUGCGUAGGCGGUCCGCCAAGUCCGAUGUGAAAGCCCGGGGCUCAACCCCGGAACGGCAUUGGAUACUGGCGGGCUGGAGGCCGGAAGAGGUCACUGGAAUUCCCGGUGUAGCGGUGAAAUGCGUAGAGAUCGGGAGGAACACCAAUGGCGAAAGCAAGUGACUGGGACGGACCUGACGCUGAGGCAUGAAAGCCAGGGGAGCAAACGGGAUUAGAUACCCUUGUAGUC